rnacentral:tRNA from 1 species
GGCUCAAUGGUCUAGUGGUAUGAUUCGCCCUUCGGGUUCUUUACCAACCCUUGCGCAAAGCGUGAAUGGGCGAGGUCUCGGGUUCGAAUCCCGAUUGAGCCC